rnacentral:rRNA from 1 species
AGAUUGAACGCUGGCGGCAUGCCUUACACAUGCAAGUCGAGCGGCAGCGCGGGGGCAACCCUGGCGGCGAGCGGCGGACGGGUGAGUAAUGCAUCGGAACGUGUCCUCUUGUGGGGGAUAACCAGUCGAAAGACUGGCUAAUACCGCAUGAGAUCGCAAGAUGAAAGCAGGGGACCCGCAAGGGCCUUGCGCGAGAGGAGCGGCCGAUGCCUGAUUAGCUAGUUGGUGGGUAAAAGCCUACCAAGGCGACGAUCAGUAGCUGGUCGGAGAGGACGACCAGCCACACUGGGACUGAGACACGGCCCAGACUCCUACGGGAGCAGCAGGUAGGGGUAA